rnacentral:misc_RNA from 2 species
AACGCACAUUGCGCCCCUCGGUAUUCCGGGGGGCAUGCCUGUUCGAGCGUCAUUACACCCCUCAAGCUCUGCUUGGUAUUGGGCCCUCGCCCCCUGGGCGUGCCCGAAAAACAGUGGCGGUCCGGCGUGACUUCAAGCGUAGUAAAUUUUCUCCCGCUCUGGAGGCUCGCGCCGCGGUCGGCCAUCAUCCCCCAUCUUUCAAAGAAUUGACCUCGGAUCAGGUAGGGAUACCCGCUGAACUUAA